rnacentral:lncRNA from 1 species
CCCACGAGGCACUGAAAGAUGUGAUGCUCUGAAAAACUAUGACAGGAAGUCACUAAAGACCAUAUUUUUGCUUAAGAAAUUAGGACUAAAUCUAAUAAUUAUGAUUAAAAAUAGAAAAACCAUAAAGAGAUAUAUGGUGUUAGGAAAGAGAGUGAUCUUGUAGUUAACUUCAAACUAAUGACCAAUUUAUGCAUAUAAUUAUUUUCAGCUCUUAAUAAUGUUCUCAAAAGUUGAGGAGUUACUGAAACAAAUGGACAAAAUGCUGAUAAUUAUGGAAACUGGAUGGUGUAUAAAUGAGGGUUCACUAUACUAUUUUUUCUACUUUUGGAAGUGUUUGAACUUUUCCAUAAAAUGAAGUUUUAAAAAAGUAUUUUGAUAAUAUUGUGUGGUGAGUAUCCAUAACUGGAAAAUAAAAUUUAUUUUAAUUUGAUUAUAUUACUUGAUCAAUUUAUUUAGCUUCUGGAUUUUUGAGUCUGUGAAAUUUACUUGGUAAGCUUCCAUUAUAAGACUCUAUCUAAGGUCUUAAAAACACUCCCCAAAAUCUCUUCCUACAGAAAGUAAUUUACAGUAAGGAUACAGUGAGCUUCAAUUUAAGAUGAUAAUACAAAACAUAAUCAUUUUCUGUCUUAGUAACUUGCUUGAAGCGAAGUCUUUUGUGGAUGAGAUAGUCAUUGACUUAGUGGAAAACACCAUUUUACAUUUACAUAUUUAUUUAAGUUCCAACUUGUUUCAAAUUAUUUGAUGUGGCCCAUGAUAUAUACUAGAGUAAUCUCUUAUCCUAGAAGAAAUGUAUUUCCCAAAAUAAAAUAAUUGAACCCUAGAGAAUAAUUUUCACAAAUAACUAAACAUAUAAUUGCAUUUCACAUUUUGCUUACUAAUGAAAUUUUCAAAAUGGUAAAGAUUUACUUCUAAUGUUUUUUAGGUCAAAAAGGCUUACAGAAAAAUUCAAAAUGAAAGUUGGUUUAAUUAAGAUCAAGAAGGAGAAGAUGGUGUGAAUUAAAUUUUUUGUCAGAAAACAUUUCAAAUACAAACUAAAUGACCUAAGAAUUGUAGACUCAGUAGUAGAUAAUAUAAAUGACCAUCCCGAAACAGAUUCUGCAAGUGGUAAGCCUUGUUGUACACUGGAAGAGAGAGAUAAAUGACAAGCCACCUUCUUCUUGAGGCCUGGAAGAUUCAAACAGCAGUUCCCCAUUUUCCAAAUUUAUUAUCAGGAAUAAAAGCAAUAUUGAAAUAAUGCCCAAGCCAUAUUUAAAAAAGAUCUCAGCACUGAUGAUAAAUUGAUCAGGCUUCGAAUAAAUUGUGAGAAUUUUUGUUUGGCAUUCAGAAAGCAUUUCUUAUAGAAACAAUUUUUCAUAUGGUGGUUUGGACCCCGGAAAAACCCACAAACCUCUUUAGCAUGUUGUAUGUUUGCAGUAUAUACGGACAAUGCUAAAGGUGUACAAUGCCACUGUACUGCAAUACUCUCCUUUUACCCUAGGAGUAAAGCUCAAAUCCCUUGCCCUAUCCCAUGAUGUCCUUCAUGAGGCAUCCUCUGCCUCCUUGCAGACCUCACCUCACACCACUCUCCCCUAACUGUCUGUGCUCCAGUCACACUGGUCUUCCACAAGAUUCUUGAAUAAGUCAGACUUAUUCUCACCUUAAGGCAUUUGCCUAAGUUGUUUUCUCACUUAGAAUGCAGUUCUCUGACUCCUUCUCCUCCAGACAUUAAGAAAAAUGUCACUGGGUGCACCUGCUUAGUAGACUCAGCCUAGCUACUGACACCUACUGAAACCUACUCUGACACCCAGUGUAGAUUAGCCACCUAAUCAUUCUAUUAAACAUGUUAUCAUGUUUCCAUUCUUUGCAUAGCUCAAAAAAAAAAACCUACCACCUGAUAUUCUCUUGUUAAUUUCCUUGUGCAUUCUAUGUGUCCCCAGCUAAUAGGUAAGUUUCAUAAGAGGGAAAGUCUUGUUCAACAUUGCCUUCAAUAGCCUGAAACAGUGACUGGAAAUAGAAGAUCUUCAACGCAUGAGUGAAUGAAUUAAAGAAUAACUCUACAGGACUACUGUAUGCAGUAAUAGAGACUCUAGCUGACGUCACUGGAAUAUUUGCUCAGAUUUAUGCCUCAAGGAGAUAGGUGUACAUCUUCUGUUUCAUCACUGAUGGUUUCAAGGCACUAGAGUUGUCUUCCCAACAAUCUGGGAUAAGGUAACCAGUAUUAAGAGGCAUGACACUGAAUCUAGGAGGUGGGUUGAUGUGAGAAUUAAGAAUGACACUGAGACUUAAUGAAUGGGUGUGGUAGAGACCUCUAAGGCAGGUCUUCCUCCCCUUCACAUUUUGCCUCCACCCCAUUCUCCCUUUUCUCCUGUUCAUUCUCACUAAACAAAGGCUUGGCCAGGAAACAAGUCUGGCCAGCAACAUUAAUUGGUCAUUAAUAGGUACAUUUUACUUCUUCCUUCUUCUCUCCUGUCAUUUCUUCGUUCUCUUCUUCUCUUUCUUCUUCCCUCUCUCCUGCCCCCAAUUUUUUCCAUCCCUCACUAUCUUCUCUUGCAACUUCCAUUUGGUUCUGGGAGUGGUGAAGUUGGAGACCACUGCACCAAGCCCAGUGCCCGGCACGCAAUAGGUGCACAUGUUAUGCUUGUUGACUGACUGACUAAAUGAAUGAAUCAAUGAACAGAUUCCGUUCUGCAGUCAGUGGAAUUCUAGAAAGCAUAUUUUCCUAGAUUAUUCCAGUACAUGCCAAAUGGGACAGUCUAACGGUUUGCCUAAAUCAAGAUGGAUCACUUCUCUGGCUUCCUCUAGGCACUAACAGAUCUGCUGCUUGGCCACUGACAGGAAUUUCAUUAAUUGGGUGUGAUGUGUUUUUUGUGAAGCUGACAGAAUUUAUUAGUAACUCAAUUUUAAGAGACUUAAAAAUGAAAGAAUCAAAAUAGAAAACACUGUGAAUUCUAUUGUUUUAAAUGACAACUUGUCACAUGAAUAGGUAAUGCGUACUCCUAUGGACAAAUUCCUUAAUUUAUUUAUUAUUUUGGUUAGAAUACAAUAUCUUUUUCUUUACAAGAGAGGUACUAGAAUCCUUCAGUAGAUGCCUAGAUACUGCUGUUCUCUUUUGUAACAGUCGCUAAGAUACAUAAAAUUCAGUGAUAAAGUUUAGUGGCACGGUUGAUUGUUUUUAUUUCAGAAAUGAUUUGCCUCUGUGGACUCAUUUACAGAUUUGUUUAGAUACAUUCUUCAACAUGUCUAUUCUUUCUAUUUUCCAGUGCUGUUCACGAGGAGUUGCUGGCUCAGCAGGCCUCUUUGUCUCUGUGCUCAUGACAAGGACAUAUCACCUAACUCUGGGCUCUGGCUCACUUAGUAGCUUCUUUGCCGUUGGACUCUCACACCGAGAUGUCACCGAGCAGCAGCCUUUCCCAGGAAGUUGUUAAGGAGAUGGGAAUCCUCAUGCCUGCUGCUUUUUCCCAAAUCAGAGGAAGCCCGGGAGCCAGUUGCAGUAAAGUCUUGCCAGUAACGUUUCUCUUAAGAACGAGAAAGCUACUCAAAGAAAUGAUCUCUUCCUGGAUGUUGUGGUCCACGAAUAUUAUGUCUGGAACAUCAGAGCCAUCUUGUCUCCAUGAUGGGAGUUCCAUCUAAAGACAAAGUCAAAACCCAGCAGAGGACACAGCUGAAGGAACACGAGAAAGUGGCAUGGAAACGCUGAAGCCCCAGCACCGGCAGACCUCAGUUAUUGGGGCCAAUCAACCUCUUGUUACUGUUCAAGCGAGUUUGGAAACGUUGUCAGAGACCCACAACAGAAAACAACUCAAACAGCGUAUGUUUUAACUGUGAUUAAAAUCCUGUUUUAGGCCAGGUUGGGUGGCUUAAGCCUGUAAUCUCAGCACUUUAGGAGGCCGAAGAGGGAGGAGCGCUUGAGCCCAGGAGUUUCAGACCAACUAGGCAAUAUGGCGAAACCCUGUCUCUACAAAAAAUACAAAAAUUAGUCGGGCAUGGUCGCAGACGCCUGCAGUCCAAGCUACUUGGGAGGCUGAGGUGGGAUCACUUGAGUCCGGGAGGUGGAGGUGGCAGUGAGCUGAGAUCGUACCAUUGCACUCCAGCCUGGGCCACUGCACUCCAGCCUGGGGGACAGAGCUAGAUUCUGUCUCAAAAAAAUGAAAAAAGAAACAAAAACAAACAAACAAAAAACUGUUUUAAAUUUUCAUUUGUCAGUAACACUAAUCAUAAAGAGUUGCCCAAAUGAAUCUACAGAAAUGUUUUUGUUUCAAAGGUAAACCCUACCUUGAGUGGAUCAUUAUUUAACAUUUGAUAACUUUGACACAGAAUUCUGCACAUCAGAAAAAGAUUUUUUAAUUGAGUUCCUAAGUAUAUCUCAGUUUUGUUCUUAAAAUAAAAAUGCAUUUUAUCUAAUUCUAAAGUCAUUUUACCAGGCUACCAUAGAUAAAGUCAGAACAUUUCAACAAUUAUUGAAGAUAUGUCUAGAGGUCAAUAAUUAUAAUAUUAGCUUAUUAUUUUCAUUGUCUUUUCUCAAGACCUUUUAGGAACUUUGUUUUGUCUUGACAGAAUUAAGUAGCAAUCUUCUCUGGAAAUAACUAUGAAAAAUCACUAAGUCCAUUAAUUAGAGAAGUUUCUAUUCAUAAAAGAAGAGUGGAUAAUAGUUACUGUAUUGAAAAAACAUUAAAAUAUGUGUUUUAUAAGUAAAUGGUCAAGACUUUUAAAACAUCUAUUUUCUCACUUUUCUAGGAAAUAAAAGAUAGCCAGGGAAAGAAAUCCUAAACCCCUAAUUUAACUGAAGUAUUGUCAAUAAUUGAAAUCAUUUGAAGGUUUAAUUGCCUCCCACUCUGUGACACGUUUGUGUGCAUUAUUGCUCUUGAGGUGGGAGGAAAAAGCUGACCAAGUAGCCUUAUGGAAAUUGCUUAAUAAUUAAUUCACUUUUUCAAAGGUGGUCAGAACACUCAGUGAGAUAAACUUUAAGGAUAACAAAACUGAAUUACACAUGUCUGUUUUGGGUAAUCUUGACUAAUUUUCUUAGUUUAUUUCUUCUUUUCUCUGUAAAAUAAGAUUAGUAGUCAUAACAGGCAACUCUGGCUUACAUCUGGGUUCUGCUAUUGCAUUUCAUUUUCAUCUCAUGGAAAAGGUUUUAUAAAGCGUAAUGCAU